AGCCUUAUAGUCAUUAUAAUGAUUUUAAAUUGCAAAUUUAAAGGUAAAUAAAAAUUUUAAGGCUU
rnacentral:tRNA from 1 species